GGGCUGGGGCUCAGUGGUAGAGCGCUCGCCUAGCACGUGUGAGGCUUUGGGUUCAAUCCUCAGCAGCACA
rnacentral:tRNA from 1 species